rnacentral:misc_RNA from 1 species
GAUGAAGAACGUAGUGAAAUGCGAUAAGUAGUGUGAAUUGCAGAAUUCAGUGAAUCAUCGAAUCUUUGAACGCACAUUGCGCCUCCUGGUAUUCCGGGAGGCAUGCCUGUUCGAGCGUCAUUAAAAUCACUCAAGCUUAGGUUUGCCUAUUGCUUGGUCUUGAAGAUGGAAGCUAAGUAAUUAGAAUCCUCUUCGAAAUCCAAUGGCGAAGACCCUUGCUCUCCCAAGUGUAGUAAUAACUUAUUCACUGAAGGAAGCGAGUAAUCUUCCGCCGUAACCCCCUUAUUUUCUAUGAUUGACCUCGGAUCAGGUAGGGAUACCCGCUGAACUUAAGCAUAUCAAUAAGCGGAGGA